GUGUGUUAUUUAUUUGAGGUACUCCUCGCUCUUUUGUUUGGGCUUCAACCCUGUGUUUUACGUGUUUGUUUGGUCUUCAUUCCAGCGCCUUUACACGGCACGCCAUAAUUUGGGGCUUAAUAAAACAACUAUUACGCAUUCCUGUGCCUGUCUCCCGAAUCUCUUUAUACCAACGUGACAGAAUAAUCGACCAUUGAGGGAGACCGUGGGACUGGUCCUUCCGGCGCCGCCGCAACUGGGUCGUCCGAUGUCACCACAACGGGUCUGUCCAACGACGCAACUUCAGCAGCCUCGAUUAUUCUGGCCCAGGUCUGAGCCCACAAGCCUGGGAGAAUCCAGCUCUUUCCAAGAUUACCCAACUGUGCCAGAGUGCAUCCAAGCACAAACAGCUUUAGUACUGACCCACAGAAGGAGAGAGAGCCUGGGAACCAGAACAGGGAUGGAUCUUUCUCUCUCUACCUUGCUGCUGCUGCCUGACACUGGGGCUUGGAGCCUUUCCCAUACCAUCCAACCUCAUCUGUUUAUUAUUUUCCUGUGUGGGCUUGUGUUGAGAGGGAGAGGUCAAGAUAGAUUUCAUAAACAAUACCCUGAGAGACUCAAGGUAUUGUGGGGGACUGGAUUUCUGUACAUACAGUGUUUAGUCUUUGAUUCCAACAGUCAUGCUGUAGGUUCUCAUAAAAGGAAAGUACAUUUGUCCAUGUUAAUUUUGAAGGCAAAAAUGAGUUGUUUGAUCUGCCCUGGCUGGUUCAGUGGGUUUUUGGCUUCAUGCGAGGUACAAAACGCAGGACUAACAGAUAUUAACCUCAGGAAACAAGAGACAGAACUGUCAGACAAAAGAAAAGGACAUAAAAGAGAACAUAUGUAACAGGAGAAGACACAUGAUAGCUGCUUACAUCACAUCCUGUGGCCAUACAUUAUCACAGUAUAGGCAGCGUUGUUUUGUGUACAUGUUCCUACAAAUAGUUUCAGGUGACAGGAAAUUGCCAUUAGUCAUCAGGUGUCAUACUUCCAAGGCAAGAUGAAUGAAAAAUGUCUGAACAAUAAAAGUGUAAUUAAUUUAUUUUACUU